rnacentral:rRNA from 1 species
UUGCGGACGGGUGAGUAACGCGUGGGUAACCUGCCUUGCACUGGGGGAUAACACUUAGAAAUAGGUGCUAAUACCGCAUAAGCGCACGGUCCUGCAUGGGACAGUGUGAAAAACUCCGGUGGUGCAAGAUGGACCCGCGUCUGAUUAGCUGGUUGGCGGGGUAAAGGCCCACCAAGGCGACGAUCAGUAGCCGGCCUGAGAGGGUGGACGGCCACAUUGGGACUGAGACACGGCCCAAACUCCUACGGAAGGCAGCAG